GCGCUCGGCAGCCAGGACAAAGAGCGGCAGGAGGCGGCGGGCAAGAGGGACAAGAGGGACGGCGGCGAUGGAGCGCCGGGGCUCGAUGCUCCCAAAGGCAAAGGCGCCGAGCCGGAGCCCGGCAAAACGGCUCCUCUGGAGAGGAAAGAAAUCGAGGUCAGCAAUGUGCAGAGCUCUCCGUCUCCCAAGCAAGGAGAUUUACCACGUGAUGGCAAGGCAGAGGAGCCCAAAGCAGCCGAGGCCGUGAGUGGGAACGACAUCACAGCUCCUCCCAACAAGGAGCUGCCCCCCAGCCCCGAGAAGAAGACCAAGGUAGGAGCUGUUCCCUGCUCCCAUCUCUGCUCCCAGGGCUUUCAUUUCCCAGCUUUUCUGCUUCCUCAGCUGUGCCAGCCCCACUUCUGUUUUCUGA
rnacentral:lncRNA from 1 species